rnacentral:misc_RNA from 1 species
GAUGAAGAACGUAUCGAAAUGCGAUAAGUAAUGUGAAUUGCAGAAUUCAGUGAACCAUCGAAUCUUUGAACGCGCAUUGCGCCAGGCAGUAUUCUGCCGGGCAUGCCUGUCCGAGCGUCAUUUCUACCCUCGAGCGAGUCCAGCAUCUAGGUGCUGGGCCUCGCCCGGCGUUGGAGCACUACGGGAAGCCCUGUGCUGUCCCCCGUAGGCCCCGAAAUGAAGUGGCGGUCCUGCCGCGGCGCCCCCUGCGUAGUAUAACAGCUCCCUUCGGGACCCGGUGGAGGCCUGCCGUCAAACCUAUACUCUCUAAGUUUGACCUCGGAUCAGGUAGGGUUACCCGCUGAACUUAAGCAUAUCAAUAAGCGGAGGA